ACCUGCCACCCGUCGGUGAAAUCCUGAAUGUGAGGCACGGGAUAUCGAUCUGGCAUUGUAGCAUCGUUCAGACGGCGGUAAUCACCCACUAGACGCCAACCACCGUCAGGCUUGGGAACAACAUGCACGGGCGAGGCCAUAGGGGAUGAAGAACGUGCACAGAUCUUCAAAUCCAACAUAGUCUUGAACUCUGCCUUGGCCACCUCCAAUUUCUGUCCCGACAAACGACGAGGUUUGGACACCACGGGCAAACCCUUCAGGACAAUUCGAUGUUGGACGUUGUGUUUAGGUUGGGCAUCCGCGAAAGUUGGAACGAGUAAUUCAGGAAACUCGUUCAGAAUCACGGAAAGGAGCAAUCGGGAUCAGCUUUCAGAAUAGACAGAGCAGGGGCAGAAGCAUGGCCCAAAUAACCCACCACUAUGGAUUGGGAUUGUGCGUUAUACAGGCGAUGAUUGACCAGGUCAACGACCAAGUCGUGGGCGCGCAAAAAAUCGGCCCCCAGGAUGGCCUGGUCAAUCCGUUACAUAAAACGUCCAGCGGCAGCAAAAACAGACACUCCCGGUCUUGAUCGCAUUGUCCGGGAACUGGCAAGACACUCACUUGAGCACCAGAAUCAACCAGGCCGUCUUCCAAGUUUCCCUGGACCGCAGAAAUGCUAGUCUUGCAAGAACUGGCGACAGAACAUGGGGGUUCGCAACGAAAGGCCUUCUUUCCCCACUUUCGAUGUAGGCGGCACCAACCUUGACGAGUGGGCGAGCAAUCCGGCCGGAUACGCCGUUGGGGUUUACUAACCGCAGAAAUGGAGGCGGGCAUGGGAAGAAACGAGAUGGUCCGCGAGAAGUGCCAAAUCGCGAGGGGAAAGGGCUUCCAAUGACGGAAUGAGAUGUGGCCGGAGUUCGACCGGCAGGGAAUCCACGAAUAAGGUCCGGAACAAGAUGCAAGGCUCAUGAUCCCCCAAAAACGCCAACAUAUCGUCCAUUAGCUGGGAAGGGCGCCUGUCCCCCAAGGGCGAGGUAUCCAAGAGGAGUUGGGCCAUUCGAUAA